rnacentral:SRP_RNA from 1 species
AAAACGACUGUUUGGAGGUGGCGGCCCUUGCGACUGUGAGUCGUGAACCUGGUCAGGCCUUAACUGGAGCAGCCAUAAGCGGUGUAGCUUUGUGUGAGGGUCGCCGCCUCCGAGCAGUCUUU